rnacentral:misc_RNA from 1 species
AAGACCACUUUAAUCCACAGACCUAAACCACAGCCCAUUAUUAUUAGGUCAAGAAGAAUAGUCAAAUUCAAAGUACAGUGAUGGGUAGUAGAUAUAGUUUCUAACUAAAAAUUUAAAAAAUCGUAAUUGGUAAAAUGAAAUCAACAGAGAAGCAUGCAAAAGCAGAAUAAAUAUUCUGAGUGAAGUCCAAGGUAAUAAUGAAAAGAGUAAAAUUAAUUG